GAUGAAGAACGUAGCGAAAUGCGAUAAGUAAUGUGAAUUGCAGAAUUCAGUGAAUCAUCGAAUCUUUGAACGCACAUUGCGCCCAUUAGCAUUCUAGUGGGCAUGCCUGUUCGAGCGUCAUUUCAACCCUUAAGCCCUGUUGCUUAGCGUUGGGAGCCAACAGUACUGUAGCUCCCCAAAGUUAGUGGCGGAGUCGGUUUCACACUCUAGACGUAGUAAUUUUUUCUCGUCUGUAGUUGAGCCGGUCCCCUGCCGUAAAACACCCAAUUUAUCAAGGUUGACCUCGGAUCAGGUAGGAAUACCCGCUGAACUUAAGCAUAUCAAUAAGCGGAGGA
rnacentral:misc_RNA from 1 species